rnacentral:rRNA from 1 species
GUACCCUGGUAGUCCUCGCUGUAAACGAUGUCGACUUGGAGGUUGUGCCCUUGAGGCGUGGCUUCCGGAGCUAACGCGUUAAGUCGACCGCCUGGGGAGUACGGCCGCAAGGUUAAAACUCAAAUGAAUUGACGGGGGCCCGCACAAGCGGUGGAGCAUGUGGUUUAAUUCGAUGCAACGCGAAGAACCUUACCUACUCUUGACAUCCACGGAAUUCGCCAGAGAUGGCUUAGUGCCUUCGGGAACCGUGAGACAGGUGCUGCAUGGCUGUCGUCAGCUCGUGUUGUGAAAUGUUGGGUUAAGUCCCGCAACGAGCGCAACCCUUAUCCUUUGUUGCCAGCACGUAAUGGUGGGAACUCAAAGGAGACUGCCGGUGAUAAACCGGAGGAAGGUGGGGAUGACGUCAAGUCAUCAUGGCCCUUACGAGUAGGGCUACACACGUGCUACAAUGGCAUAUACAAAGAGAAGCGAACUCGCGAGAGCAAGCGGACCUCAUAAAGUAUGUCGUAGUCCGGAUUGGAGUCUGCAACUCGACUCCAUGAAGUCGGAAUCGCUAGUAAUCGUAGAUCAGAAUGCUACGGUGAAUACGUUCCCGGGCCUUGUACACACCGCCCGUCACACCAUGGGAGUGGGUUGCAAAAGAAGUAGGUAGCUUAACCUUCUGGGACCGCGCCG